UACGUAGGAGACGAGCGUUGUCCGGAGUUACUGGGCGUAAAGGGUGCGCAGGUGGCGGCGCGCGUGGGGGGUGAAAUCGCCCGGCUUAACUGGGCGGGGGCCUUCCAGACGGCGUGGCUUGAGCAGCGGAGGGGGACGUGGAAUUCCGGGUGGAGCGGUGAAAUGCGUAGAGAUCCGGAGGAACACCUGCGGUGUAGACGGCUUUCUGGACCAUUGUUGACGCUGAGACACGAAAGCGUGGGUAGCAAACAGG
rnacentral:rRNA from 1 species